rnacentral:lncRNA from 10 species
GCCUGAUUAAGCAUUGACACUGCAUUUGUCACCACCAGCUCUGAUGGUUUGGACAUGUAGAAAUGUAUUGCAGGAGAAUAUGCAAACAGCUGCUGUAAGGUGAGCUGAUCGGGACAACUGCCAGCAGGCAGAAGGGAAGGCAUAAUUAAUGGGCACCCUUCAGCAGAGCUCAGAGCAGACCAAACGCCAAUGCAGAAGGCUCAAGAAAGAGGCAAACAGACUAGCCACUGCUCCAGGAUGACUGUGGCUCUUUAUGAGUGAAGAGAAAGGGUGGAGACUGAAGACAGAACUGGGGACAGUGACAGGCUUGGGGAAGAACAGCUGAUUCAGCAGUCCCAAGCAUCUGAACACAAGGUGGACAUUCUCCAGGGUGACAUCGCAAAAUACAUGGGUGAAGACAACCUAGUGGCCGUGACUUGGAGCACCCUUCCUCACAAUGAAGGCAUUCUGGGCCAGCCUGAAAAACAGCAUGGAAAUAAAUCACCUAAGUACAAGGGACCUCGGUGACAACGCUGUGAACAUCUAUGGAUUCCGCAUUCAAGUACUUUGUCACAACUGUCUCCACAAGUUGGUACAUCUUCUGUACAAGGCAAAGAAAACUCUAAAAACAUACAAAAAGUCAAUGUUAAUAAUGAGACAUUAUUAUUAAACAUCAACAAAGUGCCAUGUUCUUCAGGCUCCCUAAGGAAUGCUAGCACUUUCAGACUAUAAAUUUUUGUAUCCACAUAAUCAUUGGGAAAAAUUAACUUUAAUGAAAAUAAUCCCUAAUAUUUGUGAAGUUUAUGGUUUUUAAAAAGAAAUUUGACACAAGUUACUAUCCUCAAGAAACACAUUUUUAUGGGCUAUCUACUUCAGAAAUAGUUAUCUAAAGAAAUGAGUAAAG